CAGCGCCACGAGUGGCAUCCGCGAUUAUUGGGCCAAAAGUGUCCGUAGCCGGUUUGGAAAGUCCUCUGUGAAAGUGGUAGGCUCAACCUAUCGAAUGGCAGAGGAUACUACCAGACUAGAGACCGGGAGGAGUUAGAGGUAUUCUGGGGGAAGCGGUAAAAUGCGAUAAUCCUCGGAGGACCACCUGUGGCGAAGGCGUCUAACCAGAACGGGUCUGACGGUGAGGGACGAAGGCUAGGGGAGCGAUCCGGAUUAGAUACCCGAGUAGUCC
rnacentral:rRNA from 1 species